AUUGAACGCUGGCGGCAUGCCUUACACGUGCAAGUCGAACGGUAACGCGGGGCAACCUGGCGACGAGUGGCGAACGGGUGAGUAGCGCAUCGGAACGUGCCCAGUAGUGGGGGAUAGCCCGGCGAAAGCCGGAUUAAUACCGCAUACGACCUACGGGUGACAGAGGGGGAUCGCAAGACCUCUCGCCUUUGGAGCGGCCGAAGUCAGAUUAGGUAGUUGGUGGGGUAAAGGCCUACCAAGCCUACGAUCUGUAGCUGGUCUGAGAGGACGACCAGCCACACUGGGACUGAGACACGGCCCAGACUCCUACGGGAGGCAGCAGUGGGGAAUUUUGGACAAUGGGCGCAAGCCUGAUCCAGCCAUGCCGCGUGCGGGAAGAAGGCCUUCGGGUUGUAAACCGCUUUUGUCAGGGAAGAAACGCUCUGGACUAAUACUCUGGGGUAAUGACGGUACCUGAAGAAUAAGCACCGGCUAACUACGUGCCAGCCGCCGCCGUAA
rnacentral:rRNA from 1 species